UACGUAGGGACCGAGCGUUGUCCGGAUUCAUUGGGCGUAAAGAGCUCGUAGGCGGCCACUCAAGUCGAAUGUGAAACCUCGAGGCUUAACCUCGAGCCUGCAUUCGAUACUGGGCGGCUAGAGUCUGGUAGGGGGAUCUGGAAUUCCUGGUGUAGCGGUGGAAUGCGCAGAUAUCAGGAGGAACACCGGUGGCGAAGGCGGGAUCCUGGGCCAGUACUGACGCUGAGGAGCGAAAGCGUGGGGAGCAAACAGGAUUAGAUACCCUGGUAGUCCACGCCGUAAACGAUGGGCGCUAGGUGUGGGAGGUCAUCGACUCCUUCCGUGCCGCAGCUAACGCAUUAAGCGCCCCGCCUGGGGAGUACGGCCGCAAGGCUAAA
rnacentral:rRNA from 1 species